UUAAGAUACUAAGAGCAUACGGUGGAUGCCUUGGCGAUAUCUGCCGACGAAGGACGUGACAAGCUGCGAAAAGCUGCGGAGAGAUGCAAAUAAUCGGCGACCCGCAGACAUCCGAAUGGAGAAAUCCGGCUGUGAUGAUACACAGCCAUCCAUGCCCAAGAGCAUGAGAAGGGAACCGGGCGAACUGAAACAUCUAAGUAACCCGAGGAAAAGAAAUCAAACGAGAUACCCCAAGUAGCGGCGAGCGAACAGGGAAGAAGCCCAAACCGGUGAAGGAAACUUUACCGGGGUUGAGGACCAUCAGACCCGCGAAGAACCUUAGCCGAAACUGUUGGGAAACAGUGCCAAAGACAGUGAAAGCCUGGUAGGCGAAAAAGAGAAACGCGGAGAUGGCACCAGAGUACCGCGGGACACGAGAAAUCCCGUGGGAAGCAGGGGGGACCACCCUCCAAGGCAAAACACAGAUAUCGACCGAUAGCGCAUAGUACCAUGAGGGAAAGGUGAAAAGCACCCCGGGAGGGGAAUGAAAGAGAACCUGAAACCGUAUGUUUACAAGCAGUCGGAGACCGCUUAAUAAUAAGGUCGACGGCGUGCCUAUUGAAGAAUGAACCGGCGAGUUACGAAGCCUGGCAAGGUUAAGCAGGAAAUGCGGAGCCGAAGCGAAAGCGAGUCUUAAGAGGGCGCAAGUCAGGAAGCGUAGACCCGAAACCACAGUGAUCUACCCAUGUCCAGGUUGAAACACAGGUAAAAAUGUGUGGAGGACCGAACCUAUAUCCGUUGAAAAGGGUUAGGAUGAGGUGUGGGUAGGGGUGAAAUUCCAAUCGAACGUGGAGAUAGCUGGUUCUCCCCGAAAUAGCUUUAGGGCUAGCCUCAGGGAAAAGAUUGCAGGCGGUAGAGCACUGAUCAGGAGAGGGACCUACCCGGUUACCAAACCCAGUCAAACUCCGAAUGGCUGCAAUCAUACCUGGGAGUCAGACUGCGACUAAUAAGGGCCGCAGUCAAAAGGGAAACAGCCCAGACCAUCAGCUAAGGUCCCCAAUGCCGUGCUAAGUGGCGAAGGAUGUGGCAUUUCAUAAACAACCAGGAUGUUGGCUCAGAAGCAGCCACCAUUUAAAGAGUGCGUAAUAGCUCACUGGUCGAGAGACGCUGCGCCGAAAAUGUCCGGGGCUCAAGCACGGAACCGAAGCUAUGGCAUGAUAGCAAUAUCAUGGGUAGGGGAGCGUUCUUAUAAGGAAGAAGCAUGACCGGAAGGACAUGUGGACGAAUAAGAAGUGAGAAUGCCGGUAUGAGUAUCGAAAAGAAAGGUGAGAAUCCUUUCCACCGAAAGCCCGAGGGUUCCUGAGCAACGAUCGUCGACUCAGGGUAAGUCGGGACCUAAGCCGAGGCGAGAAGCGUAGGCGAUGGACAACAGGUUGAAAUUCCUGUACCGGAUCAAGUCGAUCGAGCGAAGGAGCGACGCAGGAGGGCACAUGAUCGCGCGGCUGGAAGAGCGCGUCCAAGUGCGUAUGUUGCAGCAGAGGAAAACCCCUGCAGCUAAAAGCAGAGACAUGAUGGGGAGUUAAAGGAAACUUUGACGAACUCAUGGAUCCCACACUGCCAAGAAAAACUUCUAGCGAGACAAGAUCCGCCCGUACCGUAAACCGACACAGGUAGGCGGGGAGAGAAUCCUAAGGUGCGCGGGAAAACCCUCGUUAAGGAACUCGGCAAAUUGCAUCCGUAACCUAGGGAGAAGGAUGGCCCCCGGUCAGUGAAGAGCAGAAACGCUCAGAGCUAAAAGGGGCGGCAGAAAAGAGGCCCAAGCAACUGUUUACCAAAAACACAGGUGCCUGCGAAAGCGAAAGCUGAAGUAUAGGUGCUGACGCCUGCCCGGUGCCGGAAGGUUAAGGAGAGAAGUUAGCGAAAGCGAAGCAUCGAACUGAAGCCCCGGUGAACGGCGGCCGUAACUAUAACGGUCCUAAGGUAGCGAAAUUCCUUGUCGGGUAAGUUCCGACCCGCACGAAAGGUGUAACGAUUUGGGCGCUGUCUCAACGAGGGGCCCGGUGAAAUUGAAAUACCUGUGAAGAUGCAGGUUACCCGCGACUGGACAGAAAGACCCCAUGGAGCUUCACUGCAGCUUGAGAUUGAAUCCCGGUGACAGAUGCACAGGAUAGGUGGGAGGCGCCGAAGCAUUGCCCUAGGGCGGUGCGGAGCCGAUGUUGGGAUACCACCCUUCUGUUGCUGAGAUUCUAACGCGAGGAGUAACGACCCUGCGGACCCUCUCAGGCAGGCGGUUUGACUGGGGCGGUCGCCUCCGAAAGAGUAACGGAGGCGCCCAAAGGUUCCCUCAG
rnacentral:rRNA from 1 species